UACAGAGGGGGCAAGCGUUGUUCGGAAUUACUGGGCGUAAAGGGCGCGUAGGCGGCCCGCUAAGUCGAACGUGAAAUCCCCGAGCUCAACUCGGGAACUGCGUCCGAUACUGGUGGGCUUGAAUCCGGGAGAGGGAUGCGGAAUUCCAGGUGUAGCGGUGAAAUGCGUAGAUAUCUGGAGGAACACCGGUGGCGAAGGCGGCAUCCUGGACCGGCAUUGACGCUGAGGCGCGAAAGCGAGGGGAGCAAACGGG
rnacentral:rRNA from 1 species